rnacentral:rRNA from 1 species
UAGGGAAUCUUCCGCAAUGGACGCAAGCCUGACGGAGCAACGCCGCGUGAGUGAAGAAGGAUUUCGGUUCGUAAAACUCUGUUGUUAGAGAAGAACAGCGCAUAGAGUAACUGUUAUGCGUGUGACGGUAUCUAACCAGAAAGCCCCGGCUAACUACGUGCCAGCAGCCGCGGUAAUACGUAGGUGGCAAGCGUUGUCCGGAUUUAUUGGGCGUAAAGCGAGCGCAGGCGGUCAAUUAAGUCUGAUGUGAAAGCCCCCGGCUCAACCGGGGAGGGGCAUUGGAGACUGGAUGGCUUGAGUGCAGAAGAGGGGAGUGGAAUUCCAUGUGUAGCGGUGAAAUGCGUAGAUAUAUGGAGGAACACCGGUGGCGAAGGCGACUCUCUGGUCUGUAACUGACGCUGAGGCUCGAAAGCGUGGGGAGCAAACAGG